rnacentral:rRNA from 1 species
GUGGGGAAUAUUGGACAAUGGGCGAAAGCCUGAUCCAGCAAUGCCGCGUGUGUGAAGAAGGCCUGCGGGUUGUAAAGCACUUUCAGUAGAGAAGAAAAGCCUACGGUUAAUACCCGUGAGUCUUGACGUAACCUACAGAAGAAGCACCGGCUAACUCCGUGCCAGCAGCCGCGGUAAUACGGAGGGUGCAAGCGUUAAUCGGAAUUACUGGGCGUAAAGCGCGCGUAGGCGGUUUGGUAAGUCGGUUGUGAAAGCCCCGGGCUUAACCUGGGAAUUGCAGUCGAUACUGCCUGACUAGAGUAUGGUAGAGGGAAGUGGAAUUUCCGGUGUAGCGGUGAAAUGCGUAGAUAUCGGAAGGAACACCAGUGGCGAAGGCGACUUCCUGGGCCAAUACUGACGCUGAGGUGCGAAAGCGUGGGGAGCAA